rnacentral:rRNA from 1 species
AACCUGGUUGAUCCUGCCAGUAGUCAUAUGCUUGUCUUAAAGACUAAGCCAUGCAUGUCUAAGUAUAAAUAGUAUACGGUGAAACUGCGAAUGGCUCAUUAAAACAGUUAUAGUUUAUUUGAUAAUUUUCUACAUGGAUAACCGUGGUAAUUCUAGAGCUAAUACAUGCAUAGAGACCCGACUCACGAAGGGUUGUAUUUAUUAGAUCCUAACCAAUGCCUUCGGGCAGUGUGAUGAUUCAUAAUAACUGAUCGGAUCGCAGCUGGACUGCGAUGAAUCAUGCAAGUUUCUGCCCUAUCAGCUUUCGAUGGUAGUGUAUUGGACUACCAUGGCGAUCACGGGUAACGGGGAAUUAGGGUUCGAUUCCGGAGAGGGAGCCUGAGAAACGGCUACCACAUCUAAGGAAGGCAGCAGGCGCGUAAAUUACCCAAUCCUGACUCAGGGAGGUAGUGACAAGAAAUAACGACCCGGGCGCGAAAGUGCUUCGGGAUUGUAAUGANUCCAAUGUAAACGACUGAGUGAGUAACAAUUGGAGGGCAAGUCUGGUGCCAGCAGCCGCGGUAAUUCCAGCUCCAAUAGCGUAUAUUAAAGUUGUUGCAGUUAAAAAGCUCGUAGUCGAACCUCUGGUUGGUGCUGGGAGAGCCUUCGGGUUUUUCCAGGACCUAACCAUCCUCUUGAGAACUAUGGGGGCCUUCACUGGUACCCCGUAGGUAUCAAGAACUUUACUUUGAAAAAAUUAGAGUGUUUCAGGCAGGCAAGAGCCCGAAUACUACAGCAUGGAAUAAUGGAAUAGGACUUGAAUCCAUUUUAUUGGUUUUAUGGAUUUAGGUAAUGAUUAAUAGGGACAGUUGGGGGCAUUAGUAUUUAAUAGUCAGAGGUGAAAUUCUUGGAUUUAUUAAAGACUAACUAAUGCGAAAGACUUUGCCAAGGAUGUUUUCAUUGAUCAAGAACGAAAGUUAGGGGAUCAAAGACGAUCAGAUACCGUCGUAGUCUUAACCAUAAACUAUACCGACUAGGGAUUGGAAGGGUUCUCAAGCCCUUUCAGCACCUAAUGAGAAAUCAAAGUCUUUGGGUUCUGGGGGGAGUAUGGUCGCAAGGCUGAAACUUAAAGGAAUUGACGGAAGGGCACCACCAGGAGUGGAGCCUGCGGCUUAAUUUGACUCAACACGGGGAAACUUACCAGGUCAAGACGUAGUAAGGAUUGACAGAUUGAGAGCUCUUUCUUGAUUCUAUGGGUAGUGGUGCAUGGCCGUUCUUAGUUGGUGGAGUGAUUUGUCUGGUUAAUUCCGUUAACGAACGAGACCUUAACCUGCUAAAUAGUCACGGUUGAACGUCAGCCGUCGACUUCUUAGAGGGACUAUAUGUGUAAGCAUAUGGAAGUUUGAGGCAAUAACAGGUCCGUGAUGCCCUUAGAUGUCCUGGGCCGCACGCGGGCUACAAUGACGCAUUCAUCGAGCACUAACCUGUUCCGACAGGAUACGGGUAAUCUUAUCAAAGUGCGUCGUGAUGGGGAUUGAUCUUUGGAAUUAUAGAUCAUGAACGAGGAAUUCCUAGUAAGCAUGAGUCAUCAGCUUGUGCUGAUUACGUCCCUGCCCUUUGUACACACCGCCCGUCGCUCCUACCGAGUUCGAGUGAUCCGGUGAACCUUCUGGACUGCAUACGUCUUCAUGGCGUAAGCGGGAAGUCAAGUAAACCAUAUCACUUCGAGGAAGGAGAAGUCGUAACAAGGUUUCCGUAGGUGAACCUGCAGAAGGAUCA